UGGGUGACCUGCCCCCUACUCUGGGAUAAGCCUGGGAAACUGGGUCUAAUACCGGAUAUGACCUGCGAUUGCAUGAUCGUGGGUGGAAAGUUCUUCGGUGGGGGAUGGGCCCGCGGCCUAUCAGCUUGUUGGUGGGGUGAUGGCCUACCAAGGCGACGACGGGUGGCCGGCCUGAGAGGGCGACCGGCCACACUGGGACUGAGACACGGCCCAGACUCCUACGGGAG
rnacentral:rRNA from 1 species